rnacentral:lncRNA from 1 species
GUCAAGCCAGGGGUAUAUCGAAUUGAAGAUAUGCAGGGAAACCCCGAGCCCCAUGCCUGGAAUAUCCAGCACUUGAAAAGGUACUUCCCCUGAGGUAUUAUCAAAUGUAAAAGACCUAUUGUAUUUUAAAGCAUGAUAAUAAAACAGACGUUGAUUAUCGUCCCAAUUCAUUAUUUGUCUCUACUCACAUUGCUUUCAUGAAAGAAACAAAAAAGAAAAAUGAAACAAGCAUAAAAGCCCAAGACCC